rnacentral:rRNA from 1 species
AAUCUUCCACAAUGGACGAAAGUCUGAUGGAGCAACGCCGCGUGAGUGAUGAAGGCCUUCGGGUCGUAAAGCUCUGUUGUUAGGGAAGAACAAGUGCGAGAGUAACUGCUCGCACCUUGACGGUACCUAACCAGAAAGCCACGGCUAACUACGUGCCAGCAGCCGCGGUAAUACGUAGGUGGCAAGCGUUAUCCGGAAUUAUUGGGCGUAAAGCGCGCGCAGGUGGUUUCUUAAGUCUGAUGUGAAAGCCCACGGCUCAACCGUGGAGGGUCAUUGGAAACUGGGGAACUUGAGUGCAGAAGAGGAAAGUGGAAUUCCAAGUGUAGCGGUGAAAUGCGUAGAGAUUUGGAGGAACACCAGUGGCGAAGGCGACUUUCUGGUCUGUAACUGACACUGAGGCGCGAAAGCGUGGGGAGCAAACAG